GACAAGAUGUAGGUGAUGGGUAUAAACAUUACUAUUGUUUUUUUGGUAGUUGCUGAAGUGAUUACAGCUUAGCCAGCAUUCCACUUGAAGAGACACAAGAAGACUGUGAAGCAUUCAGCAUGAACUUAUGUCAUAAAAUGGAAAAGAUGUGGUGGGAUGCACUGGGAUGAACAACACAGGAUAUAGAGCCUGUGGCCCAUCCUUUCCACUCAGGCUAGAAUGCCAAUGUCAAAAUGCUCAAAAAUAAAUUUUCUUUUGCACUACCA